UACGGAGGAUGCGAGCGUUAUCCGGAUUUAUUGGGUUUAAAGGGUGCGUAGGCGGUAGUACAAGUUAGAAGUGAAAUACCCAGGGCUUAACUCGGGUGCUGCUUCUAAAACUGUACGACUUGAGUGCAGUAGGGGUUAGUGGAAUUCCUAGUGUAGCGGUGGAAUGCGUAGAUAUUAGGAGGAACACCAGAGGCGAAGGCGGCUGUCUGGUCUGCAACUGACGCUGAGGCUCGAAAGCAUGGGUAGCGAACAGG
rnacentral:rRNA from 1 species